rnacentral:misc_RNA from 1 species
UUUUCAAUUGCUUCCAGAGCCUGCACAGAUCUUUUACGUCCUUCAAAGCUGAAUGGAUAUGUAACAACACCAACAGUCAAAUAACCUGCUUCUUUUGCUAUUUGAGCCACAACAGGAGCCGCACCAGAUCCUGUACCUCCACCCAUUCCUGCUGUUAUGAAAACCAUAUCUGAACCUUUCAGAGAAUUUGCAAUAGCUUCCUUUGACUCCUCUGCUGCCUGUUCCCCUAAAAGAGGAUUGCCACCAGUACCAAGCCCACGAGUCAGAAGUUCUCCAAUUUGAAGUGGGUUCUCGGCAGCAGACUGUACCAGUGCUUGAGCAUCCGUGUUUAUAGCAUAGAAGUCAACACCCUGUAAACCACUACCAAUCAUACGGUUAACGGCAUUGUUUCCACCUCCACCGACGCCGACGACCUUAAUUUUAGCAGAAUCCAUCGGAGUGAAUGAACUUGAAAUGCUGAAACGUUGAGGCCGGCAAAAACUUUUCCGGCGAACACCGGUGAAGAAGCAUUGUUUAGGAAUGAAGGAAGAAUGCAACCUAUGAGAAAAAGCUAAGGAAGAAGACGGAGAAGAAGCUAAUUCUGCUGGAUUUGAGAGCCCUAAAAUCGCCAUUGUUGCUUUCUCUGUAUUUUAGUUUACCCAAAAUUCUG